GACGGGUGAGUAAUACUUAGGAAUCGGCCCAUUAGUGGGGGACAACAUUCCGAAACGGAUGCUAAUACCGCAUACGCCCUACGGGGGAAAGCGGGGGAUCUUCGGACCUCGCGCUAAUGGAUGAGCCUAAGUCGGAUUACGUUGUUGGUGAGGUAAUGGCUCACCAAGGCGACGAUCCGUAGUUGGUCUGAGAGGACGAUCAGCCACACUGGGACUGAGACACGGCCCAGACUCCUACGGGAGGCAGCAUUGGGGAAUAUUGGACAAUGGGCGCAAGCCUGAUCCAGCAAUGCCGCGCGUGUGAAGAAGGCCUGCGGGUUGUAUAUCACUUUCAGUUGAAAACAAAAGCCUACGGUUAAGUAACCGUGAGUCUUGACGUAACCUACNGAAGAAGCACCGGCUAACUCCGUGCCAGCAGCCGCUGUAGUACUGAGGGUGCAAGCGUUAUUCGAAAUUACUGCCCCCCCAAGCACGCGUAUGCGUGUUUGUCAGCCGGAUGUGAAAGCACCGGGCAUAACCUGGGAAUUGCAUUCAUACUGCAGAUCUAGAGUACGGUAGAGUCAAGUGGAAUUCCGGGUGUUGUCGGUGAAAUGCGUAAUAUUCCGGAUGAACGCCCCUGUCGUAGUCGACCUUC
rnacentral:rRNA from 1 species